ACGCCCUAAAAAACAUAUAUAGGCCAAACUUAAAGCAGGGCAGAUGAAAAAACUAAAACAUAUAUACAUAACAAAUGUUGAUGUUAUAAAAUCUCUCACUGCAGACAUCAUUAUUACAGAAUACUGUGAUGUUUUUCAGGUGUGUUUGAGUGUGUGUCUGACCUGUUCCAGGUAGCCCAACGUUGGAAGGGAGGUGAGGGGAACAGGCUCACAAAGAGGAGGAACUUUUGUGGGCAGCUUCUGGCCACAAUCACGUAAGAUGUUCAGCUGUGCUUCACGCUGGUUGCAGCGCUCACGCCAGUUCUCCAGUAUGGUGCAACAACCAUAUCCAGGAUCUCUGGAGUAAGUGGAUCUCCAUCAGACAGGUAGGCUUUGAUGGCUUUUUCCUCAUCAGUCAGUAUCACUUCCUGCUGUAGAAACACAAAAGCAAAUUAAACCACAGUUUGAGGAUCAGUAAUACGGAAAAUCUCGCUACAGAGACAGUGUUAAGCUAACCUCCAUGUCAUUCAUGUUGGCAGAAGUAUCCUCCGUCUCCUUCUCCUCCUCCCGCCUGGCUUCCUUUAUCAGGGCCUCCAAGUCCUCAGGAGACUCCUCUGAAGAGUCUACCUCAUCAGCAUAAGCUGGUACCUUGAGAGGCUCAGUCUGUGCAACAAAGUGUGCAGGGUUUUGAAGGAAGGAGUCCCUGGCUUCUAGGCUAGAGAAGUAGAAGGUCUUCUCGCGGUACUUGGCUGCAAUUUCGUCCAAACAGGGCCACAGGAUGUUGUGUUUUUUUAACGCCACAGGGCAGAAAUGAUAGGUAUCACCUAAUAAUCUCUUUGCUGUUGUGUCACCCUGCUUUCAUUGAAAGGAAGGAGACGCUGUUAAAGCUCAGCUAAGGCCUCGAAAUCCUCUACCUCCUCUUCGAGGUCCACCACUGACAGCUCCCAGGACACAUGCUGAAAGGGUUCUGAAGAUUACGCAUGUACACCAGAUUGGAUUAUCGUUCGUCCUGCAACCUCUUCUUCACUGCGUCAUCCACGCUGUCCUUGUUCAUCUCAUACAAUCUCUUCAAAACUGUUUAACACAUUGAUGUGCACUGAUACAUGAACACUGAGAGAAAUCGAAUAUUGACUCAAGUCUAUAUACUUAAAUAAAACGAACUUGUUUGUGA